rnacentral:rRNA from 1 species
CUUGCUUCUCUUGAGAGCGGCGGACGGGUGAGUAAUGCCUAGGAAUCUGCCUGGUAGUGGGGGAUAACGUUCGGAAACGGACGCUAAUACCGCAUACGUCCUACGGGAGAAAGCAGGGGACCUUCGGGCCUUGCGCUAUCAGAUGAGCCUAGGUCGGAUUAGCUAGUUGGUGAGGUAAUGGCUCACCAAGGCGACGAUCCGUAACUGGUCUGAGAGGAUGAUCAGUCACACUGGAACUGAGACACGGUCCAGACUCCUACGGGAGGCAGCAGUGGGGAAUAUUGGACAAUGGGCGAAAGCCUGAUCCAGCCAUGCCGCGUGUGUGAAGAAGGUCUUCGGAUUGUAAAGCACUUUAAGUUGGGAGGAAGGGCAGUAAAUUAAUACUUUGCUGUUUUGACGUUACCGACAGAAUAAGCACCGGCUAACUCUGUGCCAGCAGCCGCGGUAAUACAGAGGGUGCAAGCGUUAAUCGGAAUUACUGGGCGUAAAGCGCGCGUAGGUGGUUUGUUAAGUUGGAUGUGAAAUCCCCGGGCUCAACCUGGGAACUGCAUUCAAAACUGACUGACUAGAGUAUGGUAGAGGGUGGUGGAAUUUCCUGUGUAGCGGUGAAAUGCGUA